AUACGGAAGGCAGCAGUGAGGAAUAUUGGUCAAUGGCCGGAAGGCUGAACCAGCCAUCCCGCGUGCAGGAUGACGGCCCUAUGGGUUGUAAACUGCUUUUGUACCUGAAGAAACCUGGUUACGUGUAACCAGUUGCCGGUAAGGUAUGAAUAAGCAUCGGCUAACUCCGUGCCAGCAGCCGCGGUAAUACGGAGGAUGCAAGCGUUAUCCGGAUUCAUUGGGUUUAAAGGGUGCGCAGGUGGGAAGAUAAGUCAGUGGUGAAAUACUGCCGCUUAACGGUAGAAUUGCCAUUGAUACUGUUUUUCUUGAGUAUGGUUGAGGUAGGUGGAAUGUGUUGUGUAGCGGUGAAAUGCAUAGAUAUGACACAGAACGCCGAUUGCGAAGGCAGCUUACUAAGCCAUUACUGACGCUGAGGCACGAAAGCGUGGGGAUCAAACAGGAUUAGAUACCCGUGUAGUCG
rnacentral:rRNA from 1 species